CGGGAGUGGGUGGAGGGGAUGUUAAAGUUACAUUACAGAGACUGGCUCCCACUUCGCUCCGGCGAGCGCGCUCGGUCCAUCCCUUUCCACUUUCUGCCCCGAAAGACAGAGCGAGAGACGCACAGGCCACGAGAACUCGUCCUCCAGGCUCCAAGCAGCGCCUCGCCACCUUCCCCUCGGCCAGCCCAGGAGAGGAGGGAGAAGGUGCCCUGGGAGCGCACGUGUGGAUUGCUGGUGGCGCCCCUAAAACCAGGAAGCAGCUGCACCUGGGGAGGCAAAGGGGGCCGCAGCUGCUGGGUGUCGCUCCUCCAUGGGGUGCUCCAUCCCCGGCCUGCAGCAGGCGGCUCGCGGAGACUGGGCUGGCACCCUUUAGGGGUUGUGAAUGCAGAGGAGCCUUGGGCCGCUGGGACUCCUCGAAAGAGAACUUUUCCUGUCUCGCGCCGCCUGCGCGCCCCGGGGUUUCAACACGCGCGCCUGGGGGUUUGCUUUUCCUCGGGGGUCUCAAGCAGCCCGGGCACGGCGAAGGGGAGAGAGCGGCGCUCCGAGGGGAACUCAGGCGAGAGAGGACAAAAGCAAAGAAUCUCGGAAUUAAAGAGCAAUUAUGCCUCAGCUGCCGGGAGCCGGAGGAGGCGGUGGGGGGGAUCCGGAGCUGUGCGCCACAGAUGAAAUGAUCCCUUUCAAAGACGAAGGCGAUCCCCAGAAGGAGAAAAUCUUCGCGGAGAUCAGCCACCCGGAGGAAGAAGGAGACUUGGCCGACAUCAAGUCCUCUCUCGUUAACGAGUCAGAGAUCACCCCCAACAGCAACGGGCAUGAGGUUUCCAGGCAAGCCCAAGCUCAGGAAUCCUAUCAUGACAAAGGCAGAGAACAUUCUGAAGAAGGAAAACAUCCGGAUGGUGGUUUAUACAGCAAAGGCCCAUCAUACUCUGGUUAUUCUGGGUAUAUCAUGAUGCCAAAUAUGAACAAUGACCCCUACAUGUCUAAUGGAUCUCUGUCUCCACCCAUCCCUAGAACAUCAAAUAAGGUGCCAGUGGUGCAGCCUUCACAUGCGGUUCACCCUCUCACCCCACUUAUCACUUACAGCGACGAGCACUUUUCUCCAGGGUCACACCCUUCACACAUCCCCUCAGAUGUCAACUCAAAACAAGGCAUGUCCAGACAUCCUCCAGCUCCUGAUAUCCCUACCUUCUAUCCCUUGUCUCCUGGUGGUGUAGGACAGAUAACGCCACCUCUUGGCUGGCAAGGUCAGCCUGUAUAUCCCAUCUCGAGUGGAUUCAGGCAGCCCUACCCAUCCUCACUCUCAGUCGACCCUUCCAUGUCCAGGUUUUCACAUCAUAUGAUCCCUGGUCCUCCAGGCCCUCAUGCAACUGGAAUCCCUCACCCAGCUAUUGUAACACCUCAAGUCAAACAAGAACAUCCACACACUGACAGCGACUUAAUGCAUGUGAAGCCUCAGCAUGAACAGAGAAAAGAGCAAGAGCCGAAAAGACCUCACAUUAAAAAACCUCUGAAUGCUUUUAUGUUAUACAUGAAAGAAAUGAGAGCAAACGUCGUAGCAGAGUGUACUCUGAAGGAGAGCGCAGCUAUCAACCAGAUUCUUGGCAGAAGGUGGCAUGCUCUCUCCCGUGAAGAACAAGCUAAAUAUUAUGAACUAGCUCGGAAAGAAAGGCAGCUACACAUGCAGCUUUACCCAGGCUGGUCUGCAAGAGAUAACUAUGGGAAGAAAAAGAAGAGGAAGAGAGAGAAGCUACAGGAGUCAACGGCAGGUACAGGUCCCAGAAUGACAGCUGCCUACAUCUGAAGCAUGGUUACAUGUAGAGAAUACGGUGACACCUAUUGGGAGAGAUGAGGAAUAGAACAUUCUUCUACUUACCUUUUGGCAUUUGUAGUAGAUUCCAGAAUAAACCUGUUAAGUUUUUGUGCCAUGUCUCCAUCUGUUACCUAGGGCAUAGUGUGUGGUUUUGUUUGUUUGAUUUUUUUUUAAGGGAACAUUGGCAGGUGAAUCUAAGGUGAACAUAUAAAUUUUCUAAGCUUUUUUACAAAUGUUAGGUCAAAGUGAUUCCAUGGAUUUAAACUAUUAAGAUGAUUGGUAUUGAAAUCCUAACCUGCAAUAUUUGCAACCCACAUACUCUACUACAAGAGCUAGAAAGUGAAAUCAGAUGAGCUAUACACAAGUGAAACUGACUUGUCCCUGUUCAUGCUCCAAAUUUAUGAAGUCCAAAAAGUAAAUAAAUCAGUGUUGACUAUUUAGAAUCAACAUUUUUAAUUAAUAAAACAAAACCCUGUUUCAAAGGAAACUUCUGUGAGGCAGGAGUUGUUUUACAAGAUCUUGAAAUCCCCUCCAUAGAAAAUGUUUUUUUUUAAAUACCUUUUAAGGUGGUGUUGGAGUGAGGGAGGGAAUGUGAAACUUUUGCUCUAAUUUUGACCUUUGGGAAGAAGAGAGUUGGAGGGUAGUCCACCUCCACCCCUGCGCAGAAUUGCAUGGUUUAGUGAAUUUAGCACCGACAGGCAACUGAAGUUCUGAGUAGAGCCUCGUGUUGAGGAUGGAAAUUCUGUUUUACAGACUAUUUUAAGAUUUCAGUUCAAAUCAGAAUGAAACUUGAAAAUUUCAGCAUUCUCCUUUACAAAACUAAAAAGGUCGUAUCAAAAUAUUUUGUCCUAAAAAUGUUCAAAACAUCCUGUUUUGACAUUCAGAAUUUUUUUCUUUCCCCUCCUGAAAUGAAUUUUUGGCAAAAUCAAGCAUAUCAUGAAGCGUUUCAGUUUCAAUGGAACUGCAUAUUCCAACAGAAUAUGGUUCCAUUGAUUCUCCGACCAGCUCUAGUCCUGAGUUCUAUUUCCCCUCUACCACUGGCUGGCAUUUUAUAGUACUUUGCACUUGGGAAACACACUCUAACAUUUUGUAGUAAGUAAAACAUGAAAACAACCAUCUUACAUAUAAGCAACCUGAGGCUCAGAGGUUUUGACUUAGCGGCCUGACCUCUGCCAAUUAUUAACUGAACUGGUCUCCUGAGCCUGAUCUGGUACUUAAACAACUAGCUCUCGCUGCCCCCCAGACAAGUCUAUUUAUUUAAUCUUUGAUCCUCUCCCCAGUUUAAAGUCUUCGACCAUGAGCAAAAAUCUGAAGGUGUACAGGGUUAAGACUUCCACAGCGACACGUAUAGGUGGGAAAAGAAAUGCUUUCUCAACAUGCAAAGCAAAGGCAGCAGCGCCGGGACCCCUUCUGGAAAUGGAAGCUUGUUAAAACCCCAGGUGUGUCCUUCAUCUGUACAGACCACCACCAGGGUCUUUCUAGGAGGUCGAAUUCACCAUGAUGUCACUGCUAAAGACACUGAAUCAUAAAGACAAUCACUGCCAAAACCCUUCACUACCACAGGACCCCAAUCCUGAUUAUAAAAAGGAGCAUUUCAGCAUUCCCAGGUCAGCAGAACAUCUUUCAUCUUCACCUUGCACUCCUAAGUCUGUCUCUCUCCUCUGUCUGCAUAUUGAGUCGGCAACAGGUAGGUCAGCUGUCUCUGCCUGCUUCAGCCAACUCAAUAACGUAGACUAAUAGCUACCCUCAUAGAGCACAUUGAAGAAUGGAAUUCAUCUGAUUGAGGAAGAUGCUCAAACAUUUUUAUUUAAUGGUGCAAAAGGAUCAAUUUUGUUUUUAGCUUUAAGAAACUUGAACGCUUUUAUAUUAACUUUUAGUUUAAUGUCAUUGGUGUAUAUUUUACUAGUUGUGAGCUUUUAAAUAAGCUUCAAGUAUCUGAUUUUUUUUGUCUUUUUUUUUUCUGACAGAGGAAAAAAAAACCUUAAUGGAAAACGUGGCUUUUUGUUGAACUAUUUGUAACAAAUAGUGGCCUCCCAGUCUAUGUAAUAGAGUGUCCUAGAGAACUAAAUAAAUGUACCACCACAGUCAGCUGGUCAGUAGACAUGUCACUCCUGUUUCAUUUACACUCUAAACAUAAGCAAUACAUCCAGUAAAUUCAACUGCAGUGAGUUCUUCUCACCCUUUCCCCUUCUCCUUGUAAAAACAAACACAAAAAAAGCCCAGCACUUGAAUUUACUUCACUUGUUCUGUAUUUGUAUCUGUUUUUGUUAGCCUGUUAGUGGGAUUUUAUGCCAGUUACUGAAAUGAGCAUCGAUGUACCCAUUUUUUAAUAGUAAGGCACAGCCUUUGCCAAAAUACUGUCAACUGAAUUUUUUUUGUCAUUCCAGUUUGAUUUAAUGUGCUGAGCAUUUGUUUUUUUAAUAAAAGCUUUGUAAUAAAACAUCA